rnacentral:rRNA from 1 species
UAGGGAAUCUUCGGCAAUGGGGGGAACCCUGACCGAGCAACGCCGCGUGAGUGAAGAAGGUUUUCGGAUCGUAAAGCUCUGUUGUUAAGGAAGAACGAGUGUGAGAGUGGAAAGUUCAUGCUGUGACGGUACUUAACCAGAAAGGGACGGCUAACUACGUGCCAGCAGCCGCGGUAAUACGUAGGUCCCGAGCGUUGUCCGGAUUUAUUGGGCGUAAAGCGAGCGCAGGCGGUUAGAUAAGUCUGAAGUUAAAGGCAGUGGCUCAACCAUUGUAGGCUUUGGAAACUGUUUAACUUGAGUGCAGAAGGGGAGAGUGGAAUUCCAUGUGUAGCGGUGAAAUGCGUAGAUAUAUGGAGGAACACCGGUGGCGAAAGCGGCUCUCUGGUCUGUAACUGACGCUGAGGCUCGAAAGCGUGGGGAGCGAACAGG